ensembl:lncRNA
GAGGGCGCGGCCUGGCAAUCCUGGACUGGCCCUACCUGCCUGCCAGAAGAUCCGGCCCUCCGGACCGUCCCUCGGCGGGAAAGGACCCUCCCAAGGCCCCGGCCCACUCAACCCAGGUCGCUGGAGGGCCAGGGAAGCGGGGCAGGAGAAGGGCAGCAAUGAGAAUGCCCACUCCACCCCCGCCCCAGGCUGGAAAGGAAUUUGAGUCCGCAGAGAGGAGCGCCCAGGGCUGAACCGUUCGUAGCAGAGCGGGAGAAAGGUAUUAGCAUAUCUAAAGAAGGACUGUCCAGCUGAAUGAGGGCCUACUCAGCUAGGGAAGGAAGGAAGGGGGAUAAUGCUGGCUUGGCCAUUCAAGUCCAGGAGCGGCUCUGGCUCAAUUCCACCCAGCUGGGGGCAGGUGCUCCUCUAUCCUGUAGCUGAGGCAUCAAGCCUUUUUAAAGGCCUCAGAUGCAGUUUGGUUCAAAUUCCUCUCCAACCACACGCUCUUCUAAAGACCAACUACUUUCCACGGAGGUGCCCACAGAGUGCAGGUCUCUUCCUGGGACAAGACCCUGCACUGAGAUGGAUGGUGCCCAGAAAAAUGAUGCUACCCAGGGAACCCCAAGACGGCAAGAACAGCCUUCCCUACCUGUCUUUAUUCUGGCUUCAGAAAGAGCCAGGAUGGGGCUUCUAACCCUAGUGAUUAAGAAUCCACCUUGCAAUGCAAGGGACACUGGUUCAAUCUCUGAUCUGAGAAGACCCCACAUGCCUCAAGGCAACUAAGCCCUGGGCCGUGUUGUAGCCACCUGUUCCGCAUUCCGGGGAAACAAACUCAGAAGGACAAUGCAGAGAGUGGUGAGUGAGUUAAAGUUGUUCAGUAGUGUCCGACUCUCUGCAACCCUGUAGACUAUACAGUCCAUAGAAUUCUCCAGGCCAGAAUACUGGAGUGGGUAGCCUUUCCCUUCUCCAGGGGAUCUUCCCAACCCAGGGAUUGAACCCAGGUCUCCCGCAUUGCAGGCAGAUUCUUUACCAGCUGAGCUAUCAGAGAAGCCCGCAGAGAGUGGAGUGCAGUUUAUUACACCGGCAGGGCCAAGGCAGAGUCUCCCCUUAGUCAAGGACCCCGACUAGUUUUUGUGAAAACCUUAUAUACUGUAAGCGUACCCGUGCCCAAACCCACCUCCCCAAAAUUUCCUGAAACUAGUCUGAACAAAGGAAAAAAAAGAUACAAUCAAAGUUAACCCACAUUCAUAAGCCUUAAGCCUAGGUAGUUAACAGUGGACAAUUAUCAAUAGGCUUGUGGUCAUACCCCAAUAAGCAUAAUAGAAUGUAUGAUUCUAUUCUGUUACACAGAUAAUUAAGGUAUUCUUUUAGGCUAUGGAGAGCCCUGGGACUCUUCCUUCUGGGGGCCUGGUUUUCCAGUUGGUAUGUCGUUUCCAUAGAUACUGGGCAUAUAGCUCAAAGUCCACAGUCUGGCCCGAGAUGGAGUCCUGCUUUCCAGAUGGAGCCUGUUUUGUUUCCCCCUUCAGCCAUCACUACUGAGCCCACUAACCUAGAGCCUGUGCUCUGCAGUAAGGGAAGCUGCCACAGUGAGAAGCUCACGCACCGCAACUAGAGAGUAGCCCUCUCACAGCAAGGAAAUGAAGAGCCAAGAUAUGGAAUUCAGAACAAAG